GGCAGCCCCUUCAGACUCUCCAGCGACAAUUUUACAGAAGUCGAUUAUUGAGCUAGAAUUAACCUCUUGAGUGAUUUGAUGAUGUUAGCUUCAGACUCCAGAGAGCUGUUCUGAAUUGUCACUUGGGUUCAUCCAGGCAUCCCUCCAGUAGUGCUGGAUUCCAAUAGUUGUGGAAAUUACCAGUUUUCCUGUCUGCAGCUGGUGCCUGAGUGGUAUUCUUGGAGAACUCAUGAUCCGGGCAUUCGGCUUGUCACGGAAUUUAUGGAAAGCCCUAGUCCAAUGUCCU
rnacentral:lncRNA from 1 species